rnacentral:lncRNA from 1 species
UCCAGAGCGAUAUCAUUUCAGCAAGAUGUGCUACAAUUUCCUUUGACAAGUCUGUCCAUAUACCAGAUGGAUUUCAAACGUCAACACAGAAUUCAACAAAAGACGUUUCACACUUCUGCAGAAACACAGCUUUUGUCCUUGGUGGAUCCAACAUUAUUCCUCAUGAUAUGUACAUAUCACACACCUCCCCUUAGGACCAGAAGACUUUACAAAAGAGGGGAAGGAUAGAAUGUAAGAACCAUACGUGAAUGAUGACUUCAAGAAAACAGUAUUUUCUGGACCCAACAAUAUGGUCACACAUAUGAAGCCACAGAGCUUGUAAUGGCAUACACAAGAUUUGCACAAGCUGAAGAUCAGCCAAAACUCCCAGCAUGGAAGUGGCCACAAAAUUCCACGACAAGCUGAAGAGCUAUUAACAUUGGGACAGCUGCUAGGAGAAGGAGGGUUUUCUUGAAGAAGUUAUCCCUGAAACUGGAAUUGCUUGAAAGAAACAAAAGAAAAAAUUCAAGUCAAGUUCAGUAGGGGGGGGUAGAGGUGGUAUGAGUGGAUCGGAGUGGAGUGGAGUGUGGGGGAGAGUCAAUGUGAUCAAAGUGCA